CUUCCGGGCGUCGGCGCUGACCCUGCUGCCGGGGUGGCCGCCUCGAGCAGGAGCUUCUCGGCCCUCUGGGCGAGCCUGCCCUUGAGCAGGUCGACGGAGAGCCUGAACCUCUCCAGCUCCUCCAGACCGAGGCCGUCCGCGUCCAGGUCCCUCCAGUAGUGCUCGCCCGUGGCCUUCAGGGCCUUCUCUGCCUCCUCCUUCUUCUUCUUCUCGACCUCCAGCCUGUUAGACAGCUCCGUGUGCUGGCGGUUCAGGUCCUUGAAGGCGGGAUGAGGAGGCGCGGCGGAGGGGACGACAGCUCCUCCCGGGCCGGGCUCGCCGAGAAAACGGUCGACGACGGUCUCGACAGAGGGGUGCCCGAAGGAGAAAACCUUGCCGGCGGGGGAGAAAACGACGACCCCG
rnacentral:lncRNA from 1 species